rnacentral:lncRNA from 1 species
ACUAGCUCAGCAAGCAUCAGGAAUUCAGGAUACAUACGGAUGAGCAGCUAUGAAAAUCAGCAAGGGUACUAGAUUACCACCACGACCUCAGCAUUACUAGUAGUGUCUAUCAACACCAAUGGUCAAACAAUAACAAAAUUACCUCAAGGACAGCACAUGAUACAUACAAAUAAGCAUCCAGGCAGAGCAUUCAUCAGCGGUUAAGCAAGUACUACGAUGCAAUAUUAUCAAAGAGAGCAGCAAGUGGAGACUCAACUAUCUUUUUCAGCAUAGUACUAGGGGUACAAUGCCAAAUGUCCGGCUCAUCAUCAAUCACGAAUGAAUCCCACGAACUACAUUCCAGAAGCCGAAAACAUCCAUAAGCAGUUCAGCAACAAGUACGAUACAUACAAAUGAGCUGGUAAGACUAAAACCCAUCUCAAAGAUGGCAGAGGGUGAUAUAUAAUGCCCCCCCCAUAAUACCACUAGAAGCAACAGCCACAAGACUUGUCUUGAGCUAGCUACAAUGUCUGGACCAACAUUGACAGAUAACAUAAACAAGAGCAACUUAACAUAACCAGCAGCUACUAUAACUUAUCACAAUGUAACCUACUAUCAAAAAUACUCUCACCAUAACGCUAAUGUGCUCGGGAAAACAGACACCGUCUUGGGCACGAGCUGGUUGAGCUGCCCGGGGAAAAACCCAAGAGGAUCCUCCUCCUCCCUCCCAAUGCACACCGAUUACACUCACACGAGGCCGGUCCAUCACACCAGCAUUACUUAAGAGAUAGUAAAACCUUAAACCUCUCCCAAUUCAGACGCAGAAAUCGACGGUUUGCAGGAAAUCAUCCAUGCCUCGGCCAAAGUCGCAGCCGGGCAUCUCCAGGAAGUCAUCGCCGAUGUCAAGGUCCAUGUCCAGCUCCAGCUCCUCGUCGGCCAAGUCGCCGAGCAGCAGGUCCUGUUCGCCGUCCAAAUAAGCCGACGCCUCCGAGACGUCCAAGGCAUCAAGCCCCGCGCGGAAGUCCAUCGGGUCAAUGUCCGGCAGCUGAAGCCCACGCAGGAGGUCCUGGUAGAACUCUGGGUCGUCGGGAAGCUGCGCUGUCUCGGGUGUGGUGGACACCAUGACGGGAACUGGUGUCGGCUCAGGCGAAAUGGACUCAGCUGCCAGCUUGGUGGCUUCCAGAACAGAAGACGGUGACGGGUGCGCGAAUGGAGCAGCCGAGGUGGAGGACGACGAAGAUGCCGUCGGUGUGGAAGACGACGCCGGUGAGGACGUGGCCGACUGAGCAGGUGAGGCCGCGGCACCGGACUGGCCACGGCGGCGACGCUUCUCCUCGAUAAAGCUUCGGGAGGCGGCCUGGUAGGCAGCAGAGGCCAGGUCGGCAGUGUCGAAGGUGCCAAGCCACUCCCUCUUGCCGGAGAAGGGGUUGCGGAUCUCGGCCGCCCAUUUGCCCCACUUGCGGAGGCGCACCCCACGGUGCGCCUCGGCGCUGGCGCUGCUGGUGGUGCAGACAGCCGCAGCAGCCGCGGCCGCCGGAGUGACCGGCUUGGCAAACACCUUUGCCGCCGGGGCCUUGCCGAGGAACAGCUCGAAGCAGCGCUUGGAGGAGGCAGGGGCGGCGGCAGCCUCCUCGUCGUCGGUGUCCGAGUCGGUGGCGUCGGGGUCCUCGUACAGGACACGCACGCGUCGCCUGGGCGGCUGCGCGGCCGGCAGCGACGGCAGCAUCUGCGGCUGCGCCGGCUUGGAGAAAGCGGUGGAGGGUUUAACGCCAAACCCGGCGAGCAUCUUGGUCUUGGGCCUCUUGGCCAGCGCCUGCCUGAGGCGAAUCUGGUGCUGGCUCAACGGGGCCAUGGAUCCUCCUCCUCCACUUCUUCUUCUUCUUCUAACACUGACUGACUGACUGACUGGCUAACAAAACUGCAGGGGAAAAAACUCUAGAAAAGGGGACAGCUUUUCUUCUCUCUCGGGUGUCAAAAAUUGGGCGGACGGAAUCACCGGGAAUCCGUCAGUCUCCUCGCAAGAAACCACACGGCCUUAUGUGGAGGAAUCCGGAAUACUUCACCCCGAACCCGUCCCUGCACCAUCAACGAGCAAGAAUCCAUCAAAACCCCGUGAAAAACCCGCCAAGAACCUCCCAGAUCUGGGCUCACGGCACCCGCCGGACGGCAAAAAAGACGAGAAAUUGACGGCGGGGGGAGGGAGAGGCGUACGGACCUGAGCAUCGACGAGGACUUGUUCCAGCCGUGGAGCCCCUGGUGCAUAGAUCGGGGGGCGCAGGCGAGUGCGUCGAGGAGGACGACGGCGACGGCGGCGAGGAGAAAGGCUGCGACGACCACCAGAUCGGCGAAGGGGCAAGAAGACAUAUACGAGUGGCGUCGGCGUCGGCGUCGGCGUCGGCGUCGGCCUUCUUCUUCUUCCCCGACGGCGGUCGUCGCCUCCGGCCGGCCUCCCUCCCUCGAGCUCGCUAAAACCCCGACCCAAAGCGGCGAGAGGAGCAAAAGGGGUUGGGAUGGUCUCCUCCCGCGAUAUUUAAUCCCCUCCCGCUGCCCACCCAGAUCGCCGCCCCACGCGUCCCACCCAUCCACCCGCCCGCUGACAGCCGGGGCCCGAUCCUUCACUGGACCCACAUGUCAUCGCGAUUUCCCCGUCCCGCAUAGAAAUGGAAAGUGACACGGUCGAUAUUCUGGCGCUGUACGUACUGGCCAUCGUCUCUACGCAAGACAGACAAGUGGGUCCGCCCUGGAUCACGGUCCCACGGUCAGUGUGAGAAACGUGCCCUGCCACGGGUAACCGGGUGCUGUACAGAACGGGUCUGGAACCACGCUGGCCAUUUGUCCGGCACACGCGCCCAUCUACCACCCCGGGCCCGCCGGUCAGCGGCAUGGCUAAAUUUAGGUAAGAAAUGCGAGCGGUGGGGGUGGGUUUAUGGGAGGGCUUUACGGGGGGACGCGAACGGGGGCGGCUGGGGUGAAUUAUAAAUGCUUCACCUACACGCCUACCCGUCCCCAUCGCCUCGCCUCCAUGACAAACGGGCCCCCCGUACUACCGGGCCCCACCGGCCAGAUCUAGCUGCGCGGGUAGAGGAUGGAUGACCAUGCGCAGCGUGCGGCUGGGAUCUCCUCGGGUCACUGCUGGCCGCGCAUCGCCAACAGUGAUUAGUUUUUUUUUUCUACGUCCGAGAUCUGGCCCGAAACGGCCGUGGGAAAAUAAUUUCGCCGGAUUAAAUGAGCACGUACGUGAAUGUGCUGCUGCUGGCAUGGUUAGUGACGCGUGGGGCCCGCCCGUCAACCUCGGAGCGGUGAGCUGUAAAGGAAAUUGCCGAGGGAAAUGGUCAGCUGGCUUGGCGGCCAAGCCGCCACCCGGCGAUGUGGAAAGGAGCGAUUUUUUUGGUUGGGGUGAAAUCUUUUUCUUUCCGUUUGUCUCGGUAAAAAGUGGAGAUUUUGUUGCUCUCCUUCUCGGAUGCGCGUAUGACACGUAAGUAAUGCGCAAAAAUAAAUAAUAUUUUGUUCCAGGGGGCGAUACGAUUCUCUCCCACGUUUGACAAUUUCUGGUCACGUUUUUUUUAGGAAUAAAAAUGGCGGGGGAUGAUCCCACAUGAUUCGAUGAUGUCUCCUGGUCCUCAUUGUCGAAUAAGUAUCCUGUUAUCAAUGUCGUGGAAUAUAGGCGAAUAUUGAGUCCCUAAAGUCCCAUUAAAUAUCUGUGAUAAGGACCAAAUAUAUUUUCUUCAAUGAAUGGGAAAAAAAUGUGCUGUGCACGUAGUAGAACCCAAAUAUGGAAGUAAAUUGAUGGCAUUAACAUCUCCGUACGGACGCAAUUUGCAAUAUCAGGGAAGAAAUACUACUCCUACGUGUUUCCUUUACUGAAGAUUUCUUGUAACGCCAGUGGUAAAUGUACGCCUUUCACAAAGAUGGCAGCAAAUUAAUCCCCAUUAAAAAAAGUUGGCCAUCUUUACGCGUCGCAUCCAUGUUUGGAAUACGAUCAAUCAAUGGGUUGUAAAUAUAAAUAUAUGCCACGAAUGGCCGAAAGAUUUGCUCUCGAUCGCGUGGUUAAUUCGGGAAUACGCAAUAAUAAUGGAGUAGAAGUAAAUAUUCUUGACCACGCUGCGUUGUGUACAGUUGCGCAUGUAUGGGCGUGGUUCGCUCGCCGCGGCGGCGAGAUGCGUGCCGUCGUGGGCGGCCGCACGCUGACCCCGCCACGUCGGCGAAAAGGUUUUUACCUUGUGCGGUGGGGCCCGGAUGGAAGCCGUUGUCGGUAGGUGCAUGGGAGCGCGGGAAUGGACUAGUCUUUCCCGCCUUUCCCCCCUCCCUCCCCGUCACCUUUCCCGCCAUCCAGCCCGGCCAGGCCCGUCACGUGCGUGUCGCGUGCGCGGUUUGUUUAAGGACGGCCGUGAGGUACCACGACGACGGCGACGAGUAUACACAGUGUCAGUAUUUGUAUACGCGACUUAAAAUAUCUUUUACGCGGUACCAGAAUCACGCUCGAAAGGCUGUUUUUUUUUAUUGUUGAGCUUUUGCUUGUCGGAGAAGAGGCAUGGGUGGCUUUGGGACACGUAAGUGUAUGUAUGUGCGCCGGCCGUUGGCAGAGGGCGGCAUGCGCGCCACGUGACCCGGGGAUCGGACGCGGCGCACUUGGACGGCUUCCUCCUCCCGUGCACCAGAUUUUCCGGCCGGCUGCGGCGAGAUUUCGGUCUGGAUCCGCUUUAACGUCGCUCGGCCGCUCGACGGAGCGUGGAGCCGUUCACACGGAGUGGAGUGGACUGUGGAGCUCUGCUCGGCAUGUGUGGUCGGACGCACACACGGCCGCAUGUGAAUGGAUGGAGUGGGAAUGGUGGACGGUAAAAGUGGAACCCCGUGUAGUACUGUGUAUACUGUGCUGUGCUACCGUGGUGUGGUGUGGAUGGGAGGUGCAUGCCGGCCUCCGUAGUUACCGUUGGAAUGGUCACUUCACGUGAGUUGCAGAGGCCUUCUUGUUUGUUUGACUUCGUGAGGGAAGGACAAGCACCCCAUGUCCCGGGUCGUUGCUGGUUGGUAAAUGCUCGGCGAGGUGAACGCAUUCCGGGUAUACUGAGCGCCGGUCGCCCCCCGCGCGCGGCUCCAUGGAACAUUUUUCUCAUCCGCGCGCUUUGUUGGUCAGUGUAUGCAACAUUUCUCGUCUAAAUUUGUUGCAACCAGUGUUAUUUUUGUUGCAAGCAUUUUUGUUACUACAUUGUGUCCCAGUAAAAAAGUUGCAUAUACGUUUGGUUGCAACUCCAUUUCGUCGGAUUUUUCGUUACAAUCAAUGUUUCUUACUUUUGCUACAACCGUGUUAAUUUGUGCUACAACUGGCAUCAUGUUUUGCUGCAACCAUUCACUAAAAAAGUUGCAUACACGUCACGUUAAUAUUUGUUACAACCGGCGUUUGACUUUUGCUACCACGUACCAUCAGCUUCGUUUUUUUGCUACGAUCACGUAGAUAUAUUUUUUUGCUACAAAUUUUGUUUUUUGUUACAACCGUUGAAAAAAUUGCUGCAUAGGGAAAAAAAUGUUGCAUGCGGAUCCAACGGUGCGGACGCACGGGGGUUGGUGGAUCGUGCGGCCCGCGUGCAGCCGGCCGAAAGUUUGGGCCGGCGCGCCGGCGCAGAUCAGUCCCCUUUUUUAUUUACUCGGUCAAGAGAUUUGGGUCCAUCGGAUGAUUUAUUUUUUCAAGAGAUUUGGGUCCAUCUGAACAACUCCAACGCACCGACCCAAACGAACGGUGUUUUUGUCCUUUUGGGUCGGCCGAUCAUACCUCUCAAACGUAUCUAUUUUGAUGGUUUCAUGCUGUUAUCUUGUCAACUUUGGAUGUUUUAUAUAUCUUUUAUAUCUUUUUGGGGACUAACUUAUUAAUUCAGUGCCAAGUGUGAGUUCCUGUUUUUUCUCUGUUUUUGACUCUUUUCAGAUCUGAUUUUGGAACGGAGUCCAAACGGAAUAAAAUCCUCGAAAUGAAUUUUUUCCAGGACAGAAGAAGAUCGGGGGACUUGAGGGCCAAGACAGGAGGCCCACAGGGGGCCCACAAACCGUGUAGCCGCGACCAGGGGGCCGCGGCUACCAGGCUUGUGGCCCCCAUGGAGCUCCCUGAUGUCAGUUGUGCUUCCCCGGCAACGGCGCGAGAAAAAUGCUGACUCCGUAACAGCAUACCUUCCCUUGCAAAGGCACCAGAAGAAUGCUGCAAGCACUCUCCGGCAAUCGAAACUAGAAGAAUGUUGUUGACGGCCCACCAGCGCGUGGGAUCGUAGCAGUUUUCGAGGGUAGAGUAUUCAACCCAAAUUUGUUCGUUCGCCGGACAGGAGGAGAGAGGGUACUCCCGAGUAUUAGCAGUUGAAUUUAUCGGAUUCAACCACACUUGAAAGAUUAGUAUCUGCAAGCAAAGUAGUAACAGCAAAGUAGCGAGUAACGGCAGUGGCAAGGAACAACAGUAGUGACAGCAAUAGCAAGUAGCAAUAGUAGCAAGCGACAGUAGUAGCAACAGUAGGAGCAGAGCAAGACAAGUAACAGCAGCAGAGCAAAACAAGUAACAGCAGCAGUAGGACAAACUCGUAGGCAAUGGGUCGGUGAUUUGUUUGGAUGAUAUUCAUCAUGCAACAGUUAUAACACGGAGAGAUAUGUGGCUAGCUCCCGUUCGUCAAUGUGAUGUAGGCAUGCAUUUCGUGUGUCGUCAUACGUGCUUAGGGAAAAGAACUUGCAUGACAUCUUUUGUCCAUCCCUCCCGUGGCAGCGGGGUCCAAAAGGAAACUACGGGAUAUUAAGGUUCUCCUUUUAAUAAAGAACCGGACCAACGCAUUAGCACUUGGUGAACACAUGAACUCCUCAAACUAUGGUCAUCACCGGGAGUGGUUCCGGUUAUUGUCACUCCGGGGUUGCCGGAUCAUAACACAUAGUAGGUAACUACAACUUGCAAGAUCGGAUCUAAAACACACAUAUAUUGGUGACAACAUAAUAAUUUCAGAUCUGAAAUCAUGGCACUCGGGCCCUAGUGACAAGCAUUAAGCAUGACAAAGUAGUAGCAACAUCAAUCUCAGAACAUAGUGGAUACUAGGGAUCAAUCCCCAUCAAAACUAACUCGAUUACAUGAUAGAUCUCAUCCUACUCAUCACCGUCCAACGAGCCUACGAAUAGAUUACUCACGAACGAUGAAGAGCUUCAUGGAAUUGGAGAGGGAAGAAGGUUGAUGAUGACGUUGGCGACGAUUUCCCCUCUCCGGAGCCCAAGACGGACUCCAGAUCUGCCCUCCAAAUGAAGAACAGGUUGUGGCGGCGCCUCCGUAUCGCAAACGCGACGAAAUCUUCUCUUUUUAUUUUUUGUGGGACGAAAGGGAACUUAUAGACCUGAGGUUGGGGCGGCAGAGCUGUGUGGGCCCCACAAGCUUGCCCACCGCCGCCAGGGGGUGGCAGAGCCAGGGCUUGUGGCCCACUGGCCCACCCCCUCAGGUGGAACUUGGCGCAGAUAUUUUUCAUAUUUUCCAAAAAUGCUCCUCGUAAAUUUUCAGGACGUUUGGAGAACUUUCAUUUCUGCACAAAAAUAACACCAAGGCAAUUCUGCUGAAAACAGCGUCAGUGCAGGUUAGUUCCAUUCAAAUCAUGCAAAUAGAGUCCAAAACAAGGGCAAAAGAUUUUGGAAAAGUAGAUACGAUGGAGACUGAUGUCUACUACGCAACCUUCUCCUUAUAGACGUUGUUGGGCCUCCAAGUGCAGAGGGUUGUAGGUCAGUAGCAAUUUUUUCUCAAGUGGGUGACCUAAAGUUUAUCAAUUCGCGGGAGGCAUAGGAUGAAGAUGGUCUCUAUCAAGCAACCCUGCAACCAAAUAACAAAGAGUCUCUUGUGUCCCAACACACCUAAUACAAUGGUAAGUUGUAUAGGUGCAUGCUACUGCAACAAAAGACCUUCCAACGGCGCAAGAAAUAGGAGUGUUGCUUGAUACUCCUCAGCAACGGCACCAGGAAUCCUUCAGCGGCGGCUACGCCUUAAGGGAAUUCCUAGGCAAGUAUGCAAAGGAUUUCCCUCGUGGCCUUGGAUCCUUUCGUUGGUGUUCCCUCGAAGCGGAAAGGGUGAUGUAGCAUAGCGGUGGUAAGUAUUUCCCUCAGUUUGAGAACCAAGGUAUCAAUCCCGUGGAAGAGUAUCUCAAGAUCCUGCACAAACACAAAAGCUUGCACCCAACGCUAUGAAGGGGUUGUCAAUCCCUUAUAGAUUGGUUGCCAAGUGAGAACUGAAAGCAACAAAGUAACAAAGCAAAGUAAAAGCGGAGGUGUAAACGAUGGAUGUGAAUAGACCCAGGGGCCGUAGUGUUUACUAGUGGCUUCUCUCAUGAAAGCAAGUAGAUGAUGGGUGAACAAAUUACCGUCGAGCAAUUGAUAGAACUGUGCAGAGUCGUGACGAUAUCUAUGCAAUGAUUAUUUCUAUAGGCAUCACGUCCGAAACAAGUAGACCGAUACUUUCUGCAUCUACUACUAUUACUCCACACAUUGACCGCUAUCCAGCAUGCAUCUAGUGUAUUAAGUCCAUAAGAACAGAGUAACGCCUUAAGCAAGAUGACAUGAUGUAGAGGGAUAAUCUCAAACCAAUGAUAAAAACCCCAUCUUUUUACCCUUGAUGGCAACUGCUUGAUGUGUGCCUUGCUGCCCCUACUGUCACUGGGAAAGGUCACCACAUGGCAGAAUCCAAAACCAAGCACGUCUCCCAUUGCAAGAAUCAUAGAUCUAGUUGGCCAAACAAAACCCAAGACUCGAAGAGACUUACAAGGAUAUCAAAUCAUGCAUAUAAGAAAUCAGCAAAGACUCAAGUAUAUAUCAUAGAUAAUCUGAUCACAAGUCCACAAUUCAUCGGAUCUCGAGAAACACACCGCCAAAGAAGAUUACAUCGGAUAGAUCUCCAUGAAGAUCAAGGAGAACUUUGUAUUGAAGAUCCAAGAGAGAGAAGAAGUCAUCUAGCUACUAACUACGGACCCGUAGGUCUGAAGUGAACUACUCACGAGUCAUUGGAGGGGCGAUGAUGAUGAUCAAGAAGCCCUUGAGCUCCAAAGUCCCCUCCGGCAGGGCGCCGGGAAGGGUCUCCAAAUGAGAUCUCGCGGAAACGGAAGCUUGCGGCGGCGGAAAAGUAUUUUCGAGGCUCCCCUGAUUUUUUGCGGAAUAUUUGGGAAUAUAUAGGCGCAAAACCUAGGUCAGGAGGCGGCCAGGGAAGCCACAAGCUUGCCCACCGCCGCGUCCCCCUGGUGGCGUGGUGCAAGCUUGUGGGCUCCCUGGGCCCCACCUGGCUUGGCCCAAAGGCUCCCUGGUCUUUUUUCGUUCGGGAAAAAAUCAUUUCGGGGAUUUUAUUCCAUUUGGACUCCGUUCCAAAAUCAGAUCUGAAAAGAGUCAAAAACACGAAAAAAACAUGAACUCGCACUUGGCACAUAAUCAAUAAGUUAGUCCCCAAAAAGAUAUAAAAAGGUACAUAAAACAUACAAAGAAGACAAGAUAACAACGUGAAACCAUCAAAAAUUAUAGAUACGUUUGAGACGUAUCAGUGCACUAGUUCAGCGAAGAGAUGGUGAUUCAAGUGCAAUAUGGAUGGUAGAUAUAGGUUUUUGUAAUCUGAAAUUACAAAAACAGCAAGGUAACAAAUGGUAAAAGUGAGCACGAACGGUAUUGCAAUGCGUGGAAACAAGGCCUAGUGAAGUUCUCUCAACAAUGAUAACAUAAUUGGAUCAUAUAACUAGCCCUCAACAUGCAACAAAGAGUCACUCCAAAGUCACUAAUAGCGGGGAACAAACGAAGAGAUUAUUGUCGGGUACAAAACCACCACAAAGUUAUUCUUUCUGAUCGAUCUAUUCAAGAGUCUGUAGUAAAAUAACACGAAGCUAUUCUUUCCGUUCGAUCCAUCAUAGAGUUCGUACUAGAAUAACACCUUAAGAUACAUAUCAACCAAGACCCUAAUGUCACCUAGAUACUCCAUUGUCACCUCAAGUAUCCGUGGGCAUGAUUAUACGAUAUGCAUCACAUAAUCUCAGAAUCAUCUAUUCAACCAACACAUAAAACUUCAAAGAGUGCCCCAAAGUUUAUACCAGAGAGUCAAAACGUGUGCCAACCCCUCUGCAUAGGUUCCCAAUGUCACGAACCCGCAAGUUGAUCACCAAAACAUACAUCAACUACUCACAUGAAUCCACGUGUGCCAACCCAUAUGCAUAGGUUCCCAAUUGUCACAAACCCGCAAGUUGAUCACAGCAGAUAGACACGUGCAAGACAUACAUCAAGUGUUCUCAAUGACUCAAUCUGAUAAGAUAACUCCAAAGGGGAAACUCAAUUCAUUACAAGAAGGGAGUGGGGGAAGAACAUCAUAAGAUCCAACUAUAGUAGCAAUGCCCAUGGUACAUCGAGAUCAAGACAUCUCAAGAACACGAGAGAGAGAUCAAACACAUAGCUACUGGUACAUACCCUCAGCCCCGAGGGAGAACUACUCCCUCCUCGUCAUGGAGAUCGUCGGGAUGAUGAAGAUGGCCACCAGAGAUGGAUUCCCCCUCCGGCAGGGUGCCGGAACGGGCUUCAGAUUGGUUUUUGGUGGCUACAAAGGCUUGCGGCGGCGGAACUCCUGAUCUAGGUUUCUUUCUGGAGGUUUCUGAAUUUAUACGAAUUUAUGGCGGUGGAAUUACGUCGGUUGGGCCCACGAGGAGGUCACAAGCCUGCCCUGCACCACCUAGGGGGGUGGUGGCGGCGUCACGGCUUGUGACUCCCUAGUGGCCCAUCUGGCCUUCUUCCAAAGCUUCGGGGGUCUCUUUUGGUCCAAAAAAAUCAUCGUAAAGUUUCAUUCCAUUUGGACUCCGUCUGAAAAAGGGUCAAAAACAUGGAAAAACAGAAACUCGCACUUGGCACUGAGUUAAUAGGUUAGUCCCAAAAAAGAUAUAAAAUAUCAUAUUAAUGCAUAUAAAACAUCCAAAGUUGACAAGAUAAUAGCAUGGAACCAUAAAAAAUUAUAGAUACGUUGGAGACGUAUCAAGCAUCCCCAAGCUUAAGUCCUGCUCAUCCUCGAGUAGGGAAGUGAUAAAUAAUGAAUUUUUGAUGCUUUCAUGCUACCUAGCAUAUAAGUCCUUUGUAACUUCUCUCACGUGACAUGAAUGUUCAGAUCCGUUAGAUUGAAAACAAUAGUUUGCUAUUGACGUGGAGACAAUAAUACUUCAAGCAAACUAUCAAGGUAAUCAUGAACUUUCAAAAUAACAAGGCCAAAAAGAAAGUUAUCCCUACAAAAUCAUAUAGUCUGGCUAUGCUCUAUCAUCCUUGCACAACGAAUUUAAAUCAUGCACAACCUCGGUAUUGGCCAAGUAAUUGUUUUCACACUUUUACUUUCUCGAACUUUUUCAACUCUCACGCAAUACAUGAGCGUGAGCCAUGGUUUUAGCACUAUAAGUUGAAUGGAGUGUGGUGGAGGUUGCAAGACAAACAAGGAGAAGAUGAUCACAUUAACUAGGCAUCUCAAUGAGCUAUGGAGAUGCUCAUCAAUAGAUAUCAAUGUGAAUGAGUAGGGAUUGCCAUACGAAUGAUGCACUAGAGCUAAGAGUGUGUGAAAGCUCUUAAAGAAAACUAAUGGGUGUGCAUCCAACUUGCUUGUUAACGAAGACCUAAGGCAAUUUUGAGGAAGCCUAUCAUUGGAAUAUACAAGCCAAGUUAUACAAUGAAAAUUUGUCACUAGCUAUAUGGUGGUGACAAAACGAGAGACUCUCAAUGAUGAAGAUCAUGGUGCUUAAUAAGCACAAGUAUGGAAGGAUAGUAGCAUUGUCCCUUCUCUCUUUUUCUCUCAUUUUUUUGUGGGCUCUUUGGCCUCUUUUUUUUGGUGGGCAUCUUUGGCCUCUUUUUGUAAAUGGGCUUCGCUGGCCUCUUUUAUUUCCUCACAUGGGACAAUGCUCCAUCAAUGAUGAUCAUCACACUUACAACUCAAAACUUAGAGCAAUGAUGACUCUAUAUGGAAUGCCUUCGGUAGUGUACCGUGACAAUGAUCUAGCAUGGCAUAGACAUCAAAUGGAAACAUCAUGCUAGCUAUCUUAUGAUCAUGCAAUUACAAUGUAGAAGUGGUGGCACAUGUCAUGGUGGUAGUUGCAUGGCAAUAUAUCUCGGAAUGGCUUUGAAAAACCCAUAGUAGGUAGGUAUGGUGACUAUUUUGAGGGAGGCUAAUGGUGGGUUUUGUGCACCGGCGAAAGUUGCACGACACUAAGAAGAUAGUGAUGGUGGAAGGUGAAAGUGCAUCUAAACCAUGGACUCAACAUUAGUCAUGAAGAACUCAUAUACUUGUUGCAAAAGUUUUAUUAGUAAUCGAAACAAAGCAUUCAACGCAUACUCCUAGGGAAAGGGUUGGUAGGUAUAAACCAUCGCGCGAUCCCGACCGCCACACAAAGGAUGACAAUCAAAAGACUAAUCAUGCUCAGACUUCAUCACAUAGCGGUUCACCAUACGUGCAUGCUACGGGAAUCACUAACUUCAACACAAGUAUUUCUAGAUCCACAACACCUUACUAGCAUGACUUAAAUAUUACCAAAACCACAACUCAAAACUAAUUGAGGUGAAUCAAACUUCUCUAACUAUUCAAUGCACAUGAAGGUGGAAGUUUUCGUAUCCUUUUGGAUAACUACCCCUUUUGAGACUACUUUCAAAGCAUAAAUCAACUACCAAGCCACGCACCGCUGUGCUCUAAAAUAUAUAAGUGAAGCACAUAGAGCAAAAGUAUCUAGCUCAAAAGAUAUAAGUGAAGCACAUGUGAUUUGAAUUGUCUACCAAAGGAUAUAAGCGAAGCUCGACAAAAUCAUGGUGAGUGCAUGUCUCUCUCUCUAGGUGUGCAGCAAGGAUUAUUGUGACACAACAAAAAAAAUACUCCUACGAUACAAGACGCUCCAAGCAAAAAAACAUAACAUGUGGUGAAUAAAAAUAUAGCUCCAAGUAACAUUACCGAUGGAUUGAAGACGAAAGAGGGGAUGCCUUCCCGGGGCAUCCCCAAGUUUAGGCUUUUUCGGCAUCCUUGAAUAAACUUGGGGUGCCUUGGGCAUCCCCAAGCUUGUGCUCUUUCCACUCUUUAUCUCUUUGUCCAUAAGAACUUCACCCAGAACUUGAAAACUUCACAACACAAAACUUAAACAGAAACUCGUGAUAUCAUUAGUAUAAGAAAGCAAAUCACCACUUCCUUAGGUACUGUACCAAACUUAAAUUCUACUUAUGUUGGUGUUGGUUUGCUGUAUUUUCACUUUUCCAUGGCCUGUACCCUCCGAUACUAUCCAUAGUUUCAUCAAAAUAAGCAACCAACUCAACAAAAAAAACAGAAUCUGUUAACAACAGACCAGUAUGUAACAAUAUGUAUAUUUCGUAUACUUCUGGUACUUCAAAAAAUCUUAACAAUUACGAAAGUCUGAAGAAAUUGCGUAGAAAGUAGCAGCAAAAAGAAUCAACUCAAAAGCUCUUACAGAAUAAAAAUUAAAAUUAUUUUCGUGAGCAGAUAGUUUCUGUAUUUUUCCAGCAUGAUCAAACAAUCAUCACCAAGACUAAUCAUAACGGUUUUGCUUGGCACAAACACAAAAAGAAACACAAAAUACACAAUCAUAACAGAAUUAUUAUGGUGUGGAGAAAACAAAACAAGAAGCAAAAAUCAAAGAAAAAUUUAUUCAUUGGGUUGCCUCGCAACAAGCGCUAUCGUUUAACGCCCUUAGCUAGCAUUGAUUUCAAUGAUGCUCACAUAAGAGGUAAGGAUUAAAAAACAACGAGAGCAUCAUGGAGCAAAUGGCUAGCACAUUUAAGUCUGACCCACUUCCUAUGCAUAGGGAUUUUGUGAUCAAACAAUUUAUUGGAGAAAGAAUCAACUAGCAUAGGAAGGCAAAACAAGCAUAGCUUCAAAAAUUUCAACAUAUGGAGAGGAAGCUUGAUACUAUUGCAAUAUGAUCCUCUCUCAUAGUAAUUUUCAGUAGCAUCAUGAAUGAAUUCAACAAUAUAACCAGCACCUAAAUCAUUCUUUUCAUGAUCUACAAGCAUAGAAAUUUUACUACUCUCCACAUAAGGAAAUCUAUUCUCAAGAAUAGUAGUGGGAGUAUCGUAAAAGACUUGAGCACUACAAAUUGUAUCCACAAUGAAAAAGCAAGGUUUAGCAAAGGGGUUCUCGAGAGUAUGACAAGUUUUAUCAUCCCUCUUCUUCAAAGAAUAAGUAUCCUCACAAUAAUCAUCACAGAUAGGGGGCAUGCUUUCAUCAAAAUGAUUUUGAUCAUUCAAAGUGUAAGAACUAAAAAGAUCAUCUUCAUCAAAUAUAGCAUCCCCAAGCUUGUGGCUUUGCAUAUCAUUAGCAUCAUGGGUAUUCAAAGAAUUCAUGCUAUGAACAUUGCAAUCAUGCUCAUCAUUCACAUAUUCUAUGCCAAACAUUCUAUGUAAUUCUUCUUUCAGCACUUGAGCACAAUUUUCCUUCUCAUCAUGCUCACGAAAGACAUUGAAAAGAUGGAGCAUAUGAGGCAUCCUCAAUUCCAUUUUUUUUGUAAUUUUCUAGCGAAAGAACAAGAAACAAAAAGAUUCAAUUGCAAGAUCUAAAGUUAUACCUUCAAGUGCUAACCACCCCCGCAACGGCGCCAGAAAAGAGCUUGAUGUCUACUACGCAACCUUCUCCUUGUAGACGUUGUUGGGCCUCCAAGUGCACAGGGUUGUAGGACAGUAGCAAUUUUCCCUCAAGUGGGUGACCUAAGGUUUAUCAAUCCGCGGGAGGCGUAGGAUGAAGAUGGUCUCUCACAAGCAACCCUGCAACCAAAUAACAAAGAGUCUCUUGUGUCCCCAGCACACCUAAUAUAAUGGUAAGUUGUAUAGGUGCACUAGUUCGGCGAAGAGAUGGUGAUACAAGUGCAAUAUGGAUGGUAGAUAUAGGUUUUUGUAAUCUGAAAUUACAAAAACAGCAAGGUAAUAAAUGGUAAAAGUGAGCACGAACGGUAUUGCAAUGCGUGGAAACAAGGCCUAGGGUUCAUACUUUCACUAGUGAAGUUCUCUCAACAAUGAUAACAUAAUUGGAUCAUAUAACUAGCCCUCAACAUGCAACAAAGAGUCACUCCAAAGUCACUAAUAGCGGGGAACAAACAAAGAGAUUAUUGUCGGGUACGAAACCACCACAAAGUUAUUCUUUCUGAUCGAUCUAUUCAAGAGUCCGUAGUAAAAUAACACGAAGCUAUUCUUUCCGUUCGAUCCAUCAUAGAGUUCGUACUAGAAUAACACCUUAAGAUACAUAUCAACCAAGACCCUAAUGUCACCUAGAUACUCCAUUGUCACCUCAAGUAUCCGUGGGCAUGAUUAUACGAUAUGCAUCACAUAAUCUCAUAAUCAUCUAUUCAACCAACACAUAGAACUUCAAAGAGUGUCUCAAAGUUUCUACCAGAGAGUCAAAAUGUGUGCCAACCCCUGUGCAUAGGUUCCCAAUGUCACGAACCCGCAAGUUGGUCACCAAAACAUACGUCAAGUACUCACAUGAAUCCACGUGUGCCGACCCAUAUGCAUAGGUUCUCAAUUGUCACAAACCCGCAAGUUGAUCACAGCAGAUAGACACGUGCAAGACAUACAUCAAGUGUUCUCAAAGACUCAAUCCGAUAAGAUAACUCCAAAGGGGAAACUCAAUUCAUUACAAGAAGGGAGAGGGGGAAGAACAUCAUAAGAUCCAACUAUAGUAGCAAAGCCCAUGGUACAUUGAGAUCAAGACAUCUCAAGAACACGAGAGAGAGAGAUCAAACCCAUAGCUACUAGUACAUACCCUCAGCCCCGAGGGAGAACUACUCCCUCCUCGUCAUGGAGAUCGCCGGGAUGAUGAAGAUGGCCACCGGAGAUGGAUUCCCCCUCCGGCAGGGUGCCGGAACGGGCUUCAGAUUGGUUUUUGGUGGCUACAGAGGCUUGCGGCGGCGGAACUCCCGAUCUAGGUUUCUUUCUGGAGGUUUCUGAAUUUAUACGAAUUUAUGGCGGUGGAAUUACGUCGGUUCGUCCCACGAGGAGGUUACAAGCCUGCCCUGCGCCACCUAGGGGGUGGUGGCGGCGUCAUGGCUUGUGACUCCCUCGUGGCCCAUCUGGCCUUCUUCCAAAGCUUCGGGGGUCUCUUUUGGUCCAAAAAAAUCAUCAUAAAGUUUCAUUCCAUUUGGACUCCGUCUGAAAAAGGGUCAAAAACACGGAAAAAACAGAAACUGGCACUUGGCACUGAGUUAAUAGGUUAGUCCCAAAAAAGAUAUAAAAUAUCAUAUUCAUGCAUAUAAAACAUCCAAAGUUGACAAGAUAAUAGCAUAGAACCAUCAAAAAUUAUAGAUACGUUGGAGACGUAUCAACUCCCCGAAGCUUAAAACCUUGCUUGUCCUCAAGCAACUCAGUUGACAAACUGAGAGAGAAAGAAAAACUUUGACAAACUCUGUUUGAUCUUGUUGUUGCAACUAUGUCUAACUCAUAACCAGAAUUUCAGCAAGAUCACAAGUUAACCACAUAAGCAAAUGACACAAAGGUCUCACGGUAAACUAAUAUCAAUGGCAUAAUCAGCUAACGGGCAAAUAAUAAUGAGUUUCAAAUACCAACACUUCAAUCAAAACAAUCAUGAAGCAAUAUGAAUAGGUGGUAUCUCGCUAGCUCUUUCGGAGACCGCAAAACAUAAAUGCAGAGCACUUUCAAAGAUCAAGGGCUGACUAAACAUUGUAAUUCAUAGCAACGAAGAUCCAGUCAUAGUCAUACUCAAUAUCAAUCAAAAGCAAAGCAUAAAAAUGACAUAGGUGCUCUCUAAUUGGUGCUUGUAUAAGAGGAGGAUGACUCAACAGGAAAAUAAAUAGACAUGCCCUUCGCAGAGGGAAGCAUUGAUUUGCAGAGGUGCGAGAGCUCAAGCUUUGAAAACAGAGAUAAUAAUUUUGGGUGGCAUGCUUUCAUUGUCAACGCAAUGACCAAGAGUUCUCAAUAUCUUCCAUGCUACUCAUGCUAUAGGCGGUUCCCAAACAGAAAAGUAAAGUUUUAACUCCCCCACCACCAAUCAAUCAUACUCCACGGCUAGCCGAAUCCUCGGGUACCGUCCAUACUAACAUCAAUCCAGGGGGAGUCUUGUUUUACAGUUAUGUUUUCGAGUUAAGCGUGGAACUGGGCAUUCCAAUUACCGGCCCCUUUCUCGUGAAUGAUAGUGAAUAAACACAUGUCGAGGAUAACACUGCUAGCAUGGAAGAUACCAAUAGCCCCCUGUCAGCACAUGAGCGGUUCGGGCAUGCAAAACAGAUUAUUUCUUGAAGGUUUAGAGAGUGGCACAUGCAAAUUUACUUGGAACGGCAGGUAGAUACCGCAAAUAGGUAGGUAUGGUGGACUCUCAUGGAAAAACUUUUGGGUUUAUGGAGGUGGAUGCACAAGCAAUAUUCCGCUUAGUACAAGUGAAGGCUAGCAGAAGACUGGGAAGCGACGAACUAGAGAGUGACAACAGUCAUCAAGAUGCAAUGAGUUUGACUAACAUUGAAUGCAAGCAUGAACAGGAUAUAAAUCACCAUGAACACGAACAUCAUAGAGGCUAUGUUGAUUUUGUUUCAACUACAUGGAUGAACAUGCGCCAAGUCAAGCCACUUGAAACAUUCAAAGGAGAAUACCAUCCUAUCAUACUACAUCAUAGUCAUUUCAAAAUCUAUGUUGGCAUUCAAGACAAACCAUUAUAAACUCUCAGCUAAAUAAGCAUGUCAUCAGAAACUAUGAUCUCUAAGUUGUCAUUGCAAACAUGGUUCUCUCACAACAAAGCUAAAUCUGGGUCGACAAGCUAGUCAUAUUUACAAAAACAAAAUAGAUAGAGUUCAUACCAGCUUUUCAGUCUCAGUCACUUCAUCAUAUAUCAUCAUUAUUUCCUUUCACUUGCACGAUCGAACGAUGUGAACAAUAAUAAGCGCAUUGGACUAAGCUGAAUCUGUAGGCAAACACAAAGAAGAAGACAAAGUAAUAUGGCUCUUUGAAAGCUAAACAGGCAAGCAUGCAAGAACCACUAAACAUUGAAACCAAUAUCUUCUACCUUGACCCAAAGAAAAAGAAAACUAUUUACACGGGAAAACUCCCAACAAGCAAAAGAAGAAAGAAAAUCUUUUUGGGUUUUCUCAAAAGGACACAAAACAAGAAAACAAGAAAACGGAAGUAAACUAGCAUGGAUAAUACAGUGGCAAAGUGUAAACACCGGCUAACAAAGUGAGAGCAUAAGCAUGAAUGUAAAGUCGGUGAGAACACGUGCUCCCCCAAGCUUAGGCUUUUGGCCUAGCUUGGUCUACUCCCACGGAUGGUCCUGGCGAAACCCAAAAUCAUAAUGGGUGUUAUACGGGAGUGCUGCAGCCACUGCCUGAAUAGCUGCCUCACGAAGUCGAGCAGCCAUCGCCUCCCUCUCAUACUCCUCUGCCUCUCCUAUGGUUAUGUAGUAUAUUCGUUUUACCUAAAAGUCAAAGAAAGCAGGAGCAGGAAGGGUAAUAUGGAAAACACGCUGCCAGUUAAAUAUCAAGCGGUAUAGGCGGGAUCCAUGAUCCCUCUCAAGGAACUGGUAGCGUGUAAGAGCGACACGAUCAAGGUAGGCUGUACGGAGAGGAGGGUCUUCUGGACGGAUGGAUACUCCAAGAAAAUUUGCUAAGCGUGUAGCAUAAACUCCACCAAAGAAAUCCCCCUCACUAGCAUUUUUAUUCAGCCUCCUUGCUAUUAUAGCUCCCAUAUUGAAGCUCCUGUCACAUGUUACCGUGCUCUUAAGGAUACUAAGGUCAGAAGCGCAUAGGUGACAAUGUGCACCCUUGCCAUUAAUGCACCUACCUAUGAAGAGGGCAAAGUAGUGCAAGGCAGGGAAAUGGAUGCUUCCUAUGGUGGCUUGCGUGAUAUCUCUGGUUUCUCCAACAGUUAUACUGGAGACAAAGUCUCUGACCGAAGACUUAGAAGGAUCAUUAAUACUACCCCCAUCGGGUAUCUUGCAAAUCCUAUUGAAAUCCUCCAAAUUCACGGUAUAGGAUUUAUCGUACAGAUCAAACAGUAUGGAUGCGUCACGACCAAGUGAAAAAUUAAAUCUACGCACGAAAGAGGCAGUGAGCGUAACAUACUGUUCACACUUAUCUGAGAGGAACUCUUCUAACCCGGCAUUGCAGACAAGUGUAUCAAACUCAUCCUUGAAACCUGCUUCGAUGAUGAACUCAUCGGAAGGCCAUUCACAUGGUUGUACUGGUGCGUCCCUUAGUUGAAAAGGUUCGGGCUCCCGAAAAGAAAGACGAGGACCCUUCUUACUUGAGGAACCACCAUGAAACUUCCUCCUGAACAUAAUUUCCUUUUGCUGAAAUUUUUGAAGUUCAAGAGAAAAGUGAAUGAAGACCCACCACACCUUGUAGC